GCUGGGCGUGGUGGCGGGCGCCUGUAAUCCCAGCUACUCAGGAGGCUGAGACAGGAGAAUCACUUGAACCCAGGAGGCAGAGGUUGCAGUGAGCCGAGAUUGCACCACUGCACUUCAGCCUGGGUGACAGAAUGAGACUCCGUCUCAA
rfam:Pan troglodytes isolate Yerkes chimp pedigree #C0471 (Clint) chromosome 2A, whole genome shotgun sequence.